CCACGCGGCCCUUGCACGCCGGCCCUCUCCUCCCCACACGGACCCGAUCCACCUCCUCCUCACAAAUCCCGUUCCAAAUCCUCCUCACAAAUCCGAAACGAUCUGCCUCCUACUCCUCCGAGACGAUCAAGCAGCGGCAGGAUCACACGUUCCUCCACGAUCCUCGCACGAUCCGUCUCCUCUGUAUCCAAUAUGCCACCGCACACCCUCCACCGCUCCACAUAUGUGCUCUUCUCUUUUGCCCAGCCCAAGCCCAAGUGCCCAACUGCCCCUUCGUUUCCAGUACAGGAGACUCCCCCGAUCCCGAUCCGCCAGCACCCUACAGCGCCGUGCCCUCGCCGGAGAGUCUCCUCUCUCGCAUGCCGGCGCCACUAACCCCACGCCCUGGCCCAAGCCACCUCACCUUCCAUGGUCCGUGCUCAAGCAACGCAUCCUGCUGCGAGGUGCGGGGAGCCAGCGGCGGCCGGUCAGCCGCAGGGGGACACAAUCGUGGAAAGAGGCGGGGCGGCUCGCGGACGAUUAGCUGCGCCUAUACAGAGCAAACAGAGACUGCGGCUCCUGUCGGCCCCGCGUGGUGGUGCAGAGGCGAUUUGGGGCUGCCCAUCCCCAGGGCGGCUGGCAGUGGCGGCGUCGGGAGGCUGCAGCGCUGGUGAGCAGCGGGGGUGGCACAGAGGCGAUUUGCGGCGGCCUAACGCAACCGGCAACAGCGGCGUGUGGGAAAAAUCAUAGGGGGAGCAUCAGCUGCAACGGAUUGGUCGCGGGGCAUGAGCUCGGAGCAGAAGGUGCCGCCAUGCGGCGCAGCAAGCCCUCUGGUGCCGUCGCCAAGCUCCCCUCGCCGCCGUUCGUCGCCUCAACCCGGCGCCCUAUCCUGCUGCUCCCGUCCUCCACCUCACCGGCGGUGCCUCCCCUUGCUCCCGCGCCGUCGACCUCCCCUCUGCCUCGCUCACCCCACCUCUGUUCCCCGUGCGUGCCGCCCUCCAGCGCCGCCGCAGCUCCACCCUUCGGCCCACCAACCCCAUCUCCACCCUUCGGCCCAGACCACAACCCAGCAAGCCCGAGCCAGCCCAGCUGUUAAAUAAAUAUCACAUCCUGAAUUCUUCGUUGUUAUACAUGGAAUUAUUCUUAUUUUGUGCACAUGGUCAGAUUUUCUAUUUGUAAUAUAUAUGCACAUGUGUAGCUGACUGCAAUAUAUUUAGAGUGGGCCAAAUGGCAAGUCCGAGAAGUCGAAUCGAGAGCAACAGGUGGUAUGGGAUAAACAGAAGACGGAGAGGAGGGUGCCUCAGUGCCUUGUCUUCUCGAUGAAAUAGAGCAGUCAGGUAAAAGACAUCGCUUUUGAAAAAUUAAGCAUGUUUUUCAAUGUGUUUUGUUCUUCCGUAGCAACGCACGGGCCUUUUUUUAGUAUCUUUUAAAAAUGAAAAGAAAACGUAAAUUUUCUAGUCGUCUAUUCAACACACACACACCCAGCGGAGUGCGAACACAUCGAUAUGGUAAGUUUCCCUUUGAAGGUUAAAAUCUUCGUCUGGAAAGCAACUCUUGCUUAUAGCUAUGUAGGGCAUCGCCAGUGCCCAGGCUCCCCUGUUAACUCCCUUUAAAACAAAGGAACCAUGAUGAUAAAAUUAACACAUUUUAUGGGCAAACCAUGGCUUAGAUGAAGGAAUAUAUUUUGCCCAAGCUGCAUUAAUCGGCGGGCUCCGCCAAUGUAGCUAUACUCCUAGCUGUGAGUGCUCAAUGUCCAGCGUGCCCUAAUGAUGUUUGCCACUUCCGUCAUGUUCUAUUUACUUGCUCGAGUGGCCCGGGAAAGCUUUAUGGGAAGCGCUCGGCGCACGGGACCGUAUUGCUCGGAGUACCCAUGUUGAAUGGAUCGACAGUUCUUGAAGAAGAGCUACUAGGUGGAGUCAAUCUCGGAAGGUUUAUGUGAAUCCAAUAUCUAAUGGAGAACUGGCAGCAGUGGCUUGUUGGUAUGUAUAUUUGGUGGGAAACGAGACAAGUGCGACAGGGAGAAUCGAUUCAGCUGCCGGGUCCGUCAGCCAUGGCAAUUCAAGCACUGGCCACGAUUAUUUUCGGGCUUACUCUAAAUCUAACAGCAUUAACCGCCAUGGCUGGCAGCACCCUCCUCAAUGCAUGCGGAAACUGAACAUCGAUGCAUCUUUUGAUAGUGAUUGAGAAGAUGGCGCGUGCGACGGGAGCGGAUCAUUAGUCUAUAAUCCACAUAAGACAAAAUUUGAAAUUGUUGGACAAAUUAGUCUAUAAUUGUACAGUUGCAGGUUUUUUUUUGAAAGUCUUCUACUAAGCUAGGGAAGUGCUUCUACUAACGUACGCCCACUCGUCCCACCACCAACUGCAAUUUAAUAGACUCGCGAAAGAAAAGAAGGGUUGCGAGAAGUGGUAAAAGCUAUAAGCUGAUUGGGCGAACCUGAUUAUCAUCAUAGUUUACAAGACGCGGUGCGUCUAUUUCGUGAAAGCCUUCGUACUGAAAUUCAAGCGUAACGAACAACAUAGGCACCGUGACAUUUUAAGACAGAAUAUGUGGGAGAUUAGUGCGUAUGUAUUCCCUAAUUAAGAUCAUUACACCGUGCAUACUAUACGUAGAUACAGAAUACCGGAUUUAGUAACACAUGAUUUAAUAUACCUGUGUGUGAUCUGCUAUACAAUAUAUACCAGCCCGUAUACAUUACGGAUCAAUUUCUUGUUCAUCCAUAGCAUAAUCUCUACAUAAAUACAUACAUACAUAUAUAUCUAUAUAUAUAUAUAUAUAUAUUCAUGUAUUUGUAUAGCAAUUAAACUCUGCUCUCCAUCAGUUGUUGGUGGUGUUGGCCAAUGCCGG
rnacentral:lncRNA from 1 species